AUGUGGUUAUUAAAACAGUAUAAAAACACUUUUGAAUGUCUGAGGAGAAAAUUUUCUCAGUGACUUUUGUGGAGAGUGUAACAAAGUUUGACGGAAAUUGCCUCAACAAUUAUCACUUAACACCAAAGAUCUACAAGAUCUAUCCUGCAUGCUUCAUGUGUUAUGGAAAUGGUUUACCAGACAAGAUAUUGUUGAUUUUUGGCACACGAGAAUCAAGAAAUGUAUCACUUCACUUAUUUUGGCAAGAAGGUGGCAGUUUUCUGGGUUGUAGUACCAUGUGGAAAGGAAGAGAAGGACCCCUGCUGUGCGUGAUGCUGUACUUGGGAGAACACGGUGCAGCCUUAGACAAGCCGCAGCAGGGGAAACAUUGCAGCAUGCAGAGGGAACACUGUUACUGAGGAAGGGGAAGGAAACAUUAGUGCCAGAAGGUGUUGAAACUAUUACCUACGAAUCCCUGCGUGAUGAACACUGGCCCAGAGUGACUCUGCCUUCCAUGCUGUGGGCCUUCCAUAAGGAACCCACUGGAAAAUUUGUUGCAUUUACCCAUAUAUCAGAAAACACUUCAAGUACAUUUGUAUCAACAGACAAGGCAGUUGUGUUUGAUGGGGCUCUUGAGGCAGAGGUGUAUGUACGUGGAAAGAAGGUUACACCACAGAACUUCCAACACCAUACUCCAAUGACAGUGGAGGAUUUGGAUGCUCUGCUUUAUAAUGUGGAGUCACUGAGUCUUUGCAAAGGGACUGGUCUAGAUUUAUCCCGCUACAGUCCCGACUGCUGCCUCUUUCUGGAGAGGAAGUACCGCAACUCACGAUGUUCUAACUGCUCACUGAAACGAACACAUCUUAAGAAGACUGAGGCUCAGCGCCUGAGGAGGGCAGCAGCUAAACAAAAGGAACCGUUGAAGAAACAGGCAUGAAGACUUUUGUUGAUGUGACCAGUUUUCCGUUGAUUUUGUCAGUCUUGACAGACAAGAAGAUGAAGAUGAUGAGUUAUACUGCUUUCAAUACCAGAACAUUGUCACUGUGUUGCGUUUCUCAUUAUACAUAGAAAACUUUAUGUUCGCCUGUGUGUUUUUGAAGCUGUACCACUUUCCGUUUUGGGGCGUAGCAUUCAAUGGUGCCAGUAUUAUUUUUGACUUAGAAAAUUUAAUUAUCAGGAUGUUGUUAUUAAUCAUGAAGAAUCAAGAAGUUUGAUAAAUUGGCCUAACACAGAGUUUUGUAAAAGUUGGGAAAUUGGUUCAAAAAGCUUUCAAUACCAGUAUAUGGUUGCUGUGUUGCAUUUCUCAUUAUACAUAGAAAAAUUUAUGGUAGUUUGUCUUUCUUGAAGCUGAACCACCAUUAGUUUUGGGGCUUGGCAUUCAGUGGUGCCAGUAUUAUUUUUAUCAUAUAAAAUUUGAUUAUAACUAUGCUGAAUCAAGAAGUUUGAUGAAUUGGCCUAACAGAGUUUUGUAAAAAAUGGGGAAUUGGUUCAAAAUGUAUUUCAUUAAACACAGAGGGCCCUGAUGAUGCAGCGAGUCAGUUUUUUUGUUGAAUUGGGAAAUUUUUCUAAGGAAAGUGCUAAACCUUUGUGCUACAGGAAUGAAUGUGAAUCUUACUGCAUGACGUUGAACGAUGACAAAUAUAAUUUGAAUAUUUUUUAUAAAUGUCUGAUAUUUCUAAGCAGUUUUCAGAAUCAUACAUUCAUUUAAGGCUGAAAUAGUGAUUGAAAAAUUGAAUGGAAGUUCCCAUUUCCUUCAAGUUUAUGUUGCAUCCCUUGUCUUGAAGCUUGUGGGCCUCAGCUUUCCUCAUGUGGGAUGAGGUGGGCUAGAAGGUUUCCUGUAGUGUUUGGUGAUGCAUUGAUAUCUUGUAGUGUGUUGGAGGGAGGUUGGGAAACUUGAACAGACUAACAGAGUGGUCAUACCAAUGUAUCAGGGUAAGUCAGAAAGUUUCCACAGCAAUUUAUUUUAUUAUAAAAUAUGCAUACAAACAACUGUUUACACUAUGUAGGAUACUAAUGCAUUGUUUGUAUGCAUAUUUUAUAUUACAAUACACUACACAGUAUCCAAGGUUUUAAAAUUUAUUUUAUUGCUUUUUGUGUUGGCUGCACUGCUUAUUUUGCACACAGGUAGAAGCACCUAUGCUGUACAUUACUGUGAAAUACUUUGAGCCUUGACUGGUCAAUUGUAAUGAGGUUGCAGUAGAGUUAACAUGGCUGCUGUGCUUUUUGUGUCAACAAAAGAAGAGCAGCGCACAGUAGUACGAUUUCUGUGGGCUGAAGCUGUACCAGGGACAGAAAUCCAUUGUACGCUUUCAAUACAAUAUGAAAACUGUGCUUUAUCACAGUGAAUUGUGUACGAAUGGAUAACCAUGUUCACAAACGGUCUCAUAAGUGUCACCGAUGAAGAACGAUCAGAACGCUCGUCCACAUCCAAUGCAGAGGAAAACAAUGAAGAAGUCUGUGCCGUUAAUUCUGGAUUGGGUAACUUUUGAUGAAGAGGCGCAUUUUCUGCACAUCAGUCAUGGUUCUUCUCAUGCAGUCAUUGAAGACUGACUUGGGUUCCAUGAAGUUUGUGCAAGAUGGGUUCCAAAACAACUCAGAGAAAAGAAGAAAAUCUGCUAUCAUAAUGAAGGUGACAUUGUUUUGAGAUGCAUUGUUACUGGGGAUGAGACAUGAAAUCACCGUUUCACUCCAGAAAAUAAAUUCCAGAGUGUGUAAUGGAAACAUCUGACAUUGCCAGCCACAAAGAAGUUCAGAACUCAACCAUCAGAAGGAAGAGUUAUGUUGACACUUUUUUGGGAUGCACAGGGGCCAAUUUUGGAACAAUAUCUAUAGACAGAAACAACAAUAAAGAGUGUCAGAACCCUUAUGUAUAUGGGGUUCGUCAGCUAGCAACAUGGCUGACAUCGAAGUCCCUAUUGAGUGGACUGUGUACUUCGAUUACAAGGUGAUCAUCAGUUUUUGUUGUCUGCUACCAUUUAUCUGCUACUUACAUAUUUAAAUAGCCUUUGCUCUGUAGUGACAUACCAUGAUGAGUUUUCUUAAUCUGGAUGGUCUAGGUUAUUUUAAUAUACUAGUUGGCUUGCAUUUUACUCAAUAUCAAUAACUAAUGCCUAAAUACUUA